GGGAGUGGGAAAGAGGUGGCAUCGGCGGUUCAAGACUGAGUUUUCUAUCUCUUCAGUGCCUCUUUCAACAAUGAAGAUCAAACCAGGUUUUGUGCAAAUAUCUGCUGAGUGAACUACUUAUUUGAAAAUACAUCAUUGGUUAAUAUUCCCUUUUGCUCAUUGAAAUCUCAAAGACUACAGACCCCGCACAAGACAUUCUGACAUUCCCGUCUUUGAAAUGAAUGACAGCAAUGAUAAAUAUGGCUCACCUCCAGAGAUACAGAUCUCACAACUUCAUAUUUUUAAUAUAAAUUAUUAAUCUGAGGUGUGGUGCAAUUCCAUUAGAUGAAAGAGAUCUACACAUUCAGAAGCACAUGAUUCUUCCCCCUUCCAUGAUUCCAGUGGCCAAUAGACAAACUACAAUAAAGCCAUGCCCUGACUGGAUGUGCCUAACAUUUGUCUGGUGCUUAAAGGAGUUGGCUGCAUGCGUGGAAAUGUUGGAAAGUCACCAAAAAUAGUUCUCCAAGUCAGAAGCGGUGCAAAAGCUGCCUCAGCUCUUGGUGGAUUUUCAAUUUCUCCCAGCCAUCUCUGUUUCGCUAAAGGUUUCUGAAGACAGUGGAAUGCUGUUGAAGACACCACCUUGAUAAAACAAAAACAUCAGCCAAAUUAAAUUUAAAGGAGUUUAAUUGAGCAAAGAAUUAUUCAUGAAUCAAGCAGUCUUCCAAGCCAGAGUAGGCUCAAAUACUCCAGCACAGCCACGUGGUGGAAGAUUUAUGGACAAAAGAAGAAAAGUAACAUAUAGAAAAUGGAAAUGAGAAAGAACUGUGCUCCAUAUAUCUGGAAAGCAAGAAUGAAAUAAUUUACAGAUAUACUAUUGAAAUUUCAGGGAAGCUUUUUUCUCCUCCCCAUCCUGAUCACUAGUAUGAGAAGGGGUGCUAAUGGACCAGCCUUGGCCUUGCAGAUGAAGAUGAUGAAGGAAGAAGAUGUAUAAAGAACCUCUGAAAGAGUCCCAGUUUUACAUUUCAAAGUCUUUUUCCUUCUGUUGUUUAUUGUGUUGGGUUGGAGUGGAGGAUAUUUGAUGGAGAAUUGAUUCUGAAACUUGCCAAAAUAUGGAUAAUACUUUGCUCCUUUUCCAUUGUGGGUUAUCACAAAGAAGAGUUUCACUUUUAGUCAUCUAUUUACAGAUAAUGAAGAUAUUAUACCAUUAUAUGCUCUUGAAUCUGUCUCAUUGUGACUUGGCGAAGAGGCAGUGAAUCUGCCAAAAAGAAGUAGAGCAGCUGUGAAGAUGCCAACACAAUUGAGUACUCUUUCUCUACAUAUUUCUAAAUAUGGCAAUUUAUUGGACACUUAUGAGCAUGGAAUGACAAUGGGGUCAAUUUAACCAUACGGCAAUGCUGAGACACCUUCAUUAUGACCUUUCCCUGGUAUAAGUUAUGUGAUAAUGAAUGCAUGUUUAGUCACACACUGUAGGUACAGAUGGGAAAAAAGAAAGCAUAAAAUAUAAAACAUGAUGUCCAGGUUUCAAAUAAGAA
ensembl:lncRNA LINC01192 long intergenic non-protein coding RNA 1192